CAAGUUCCAGGCCGGACCGCUGGACCCGUGCAGAGGGGAGCCCACGUGACGUGGUUUAGCCCCAGCCGGCAGCUGGGUGCCACGCGCCGCUCACCCACCCCUCCCCCGGCGGGCUGGGGAAGAGAACGGAAAAACAACGGCAAAGCCUCGAGGGUUGGGAGAAGGGCAGUUUACUGGGACAGCAAGGGAGAGGGAAACAAUCAACAACAGUACUGAUAACAGAUAUUCACAAUGGGUGAUAACAAAGAACAAUUUACCGAUCCGACCGGACGCUCAGCCUGUCCCAGAGCCACACCAAACCCGCCCCUGCCCGACCAGCCCCCUUUUAUGAACCAGGACACCACGCCAGGGCAGGAUUGCUGGCAGGACUUGUGACCCCGUGGGGGACCCCACGCUGGAGCAGUUUGCUCCUGAAGGUCUGCACCCCGUGAGAGGGACUCGAUGCUGGAGCAGGGGAACGAUGAGAGGAGUCCUCCCCCUGAGGCUGAAGAGGCGGCAGAAACACCGUGAGAUGAACUGACCGUAACCCCCACUCCCCGUCCCCCUGUGCCGCUGAGGGGGGGAAGGUUGAAGCCGGGAGUGAAGUUGAGCCCGGGAAGAUGGGAGGGGUGGGGGGAGGUGUUUUAAGAGUUGAUUUUAUUUUCUCAUUGCUCUACUCUGUUUUGCCUAGUAAUACAUUAGAUGAAUUCCCUCUCUCAGUUUGGUCUCUUUUGCUCGUGACAACAAUUAGCGAGUGAUCUCUCCCUGUCCUUAUCUCGACCCACAAGCAUUUCGUUAUGCCUUUUCUCCCCUGUUUGGUGAAUGAGGGGAGUGAGACAGCGGCUCUGGUGGGCACCUGGCCCCCAGCCAGGCUCAACCCACCACAAGGGGAAGCUUCUAGCAGCUUCUCACAGAAGCCACCCCUGUAACCCCCCGCUACCAAAACCUUGCCACGCAAACCCAACACAUUGGGGUGGGGGGGAAGCGAUUUUUAGGGGCAAACGGUACCGAUUUGGGGUCGGCUUGGGAUCUUCUGAACCACAGGGUUCAGGACCAGACACCUUUGUUCGGUGCCAGCCCUUUACCAAGGGUUUAGGCGCUGCUCGUCGCCCCUCUUCCUAAUUUUUUUUUUUUGGGGGGGUGGGGUGGGGGUGUUUUUCCUUCCCUUUCUCCUAUUUUUAGGUUCAGGUGAAUCCCAAAUACAUCGUCCUGGAGUCGGACUUCACCAACAACGUGGUGAGGUGCAACAUCCAUUACACCGGGCGCUACGUCGCCACGACAAACUGCAAGAUUUCCCAAUCUUGAUGGGAGCGGGGCCGGAGGGACGUCACCUGCCCCAACCCCUGUCCCCCCCUCGAGAAAGUGCCUCAGCUGGCUCCUCUGGCCCACGGGAGACCCCGGAGCCCAUCAGCAGCUCCUCCACACCCCCCCCGCCCCCAAAACCCCCACCAUUUCUUUACGUUCAAAGGAGGGGAAGCGAGAAUGACUCCUUGAAAUAUUUUUUUAUACUUAACUUUUCUUUAACCUUUGGGGGUUUUUUUGAUUUCCUAAGGGAAACGGAUGCUAAGUUUUAGCCGGAAUAAAGGCCGGGGCCCGUAAAUGCCGUAUAAAUGCUGUAAAUCACAUAUUAGCAAUAGUAGCCUUUAACCCCUUCGGCAUUAUUUUUUUUUUUUUGCGGGGGGGGGAGCGGGAGAGGAAAGAAGACAGCCCGGGGUGAAGAAGACACCCCAGAUUUGGAGGUGCUGCCCCGGUAGGGAUGCUCGACUCCUCGAUGCUCCGGGAUGCUCCGGUUGUUUUGGGGGCCGAAGGUGCUGGAAAUCCCGUCGCCAUACGGGGGGGGCUUGCUCCCUCUGUUCGGCCUGUAAAAAUAGGAAGGGAGCCCUUGAGAUG